ensembl:lncRNA
GUGAUGAAGGAGAGCGGUGAGGCUUUAGUGUCACUGUCCAGUCUCUGGGUUUGCCUGGCUCCAUGCAGGGAUUCCUGGCAGCUGUGGAAAAUAACGCAGCAGAUGGGCCGCUUGUCUGCAUGUGACAUUUCCCAAUUGGCAAGUGUGACAUUGUUAGAAGACCAAAAUUCUGAACUCACAGCAAAACUGAAUUUGCAGACAGAAGCAAAACAGAGGCUUGGUGAGCAGAACAUCAUCAAGCACUGGCCACUGGAAUGAAGUGGAAUUAAAUGCCAUAAAAAGCUUUGAUCUGGACAGCAUUAAAACUGCAUAAAUGUUCAUGUAAAUGCAAUAAUCUGUCUUUCUCAUAGCAAUUAGUAAACAUAUGGAACAAAC